AAACGAAAAUGUGCUAAUGAUUGUCCCUCCGCCUGAUCCAAUCGCAAGUGGAUGUGAAUGGAGCAAGUGUAUUUUUCCAGCUAGUAUUGAAGGUAUUGUUUUGCAAUGUGAAGACACGUCGAAGAAUGAUGUGAUACCGGUUUAGCAUCAUGAACUUGCUCGACUCACGUAAGAUCUUCUUUCCUCAUUUGAUAUUUGGCUUUG
rnacentral:misc_RNA from 1 species